rnacentral:rRNA from 1 species
UUCCGGUUGAUCCUGCCGGACCCGACUGCUAUUUGGGUGAGAAUAAGCCAUGCGAGUUGAAUGGGAUACCUAAAGUUCCCAUAGCAAACUGCUCAGUAACACAUGAUCAACUUACCCUAUAGAGAAAAAUAACCUCGGGAAACUGAGGAUAAUGUUUCACAAUUGAAUUGGCUUGGAAAAGUUUUUCAAUGAAAAGGAUAAAAAAAAUGGUUUUUAUCUGCUAUAGGAUAGGAUCGUGUUCGAUUAUGGUUGUUGGUGAGAUAAUGGCUCACCAAGCCGAUAAUCGAUAGGGGCCGUGAGAGCGGGAGCCCCGAGAUGGGUACUGAGACAACGACCCAGGCCUUACGAGGCGCAGCAGGCGCGGAACCUCCGCAAUACACGAAAGUGUGACGGGGUUACCCAAAGUGUUCAAUAGAACUGUGGUAGGUGAGUAAUGUCCCCUACUAGAAAGGAGAGGGCAAGGCUGGUGCCAGCCGCCGCGGUAAAACCAGCUCUUCAAGUGGUCGGGAUAAUUAUUGGGCUUAAAGUGUCCGUAGCCGGUUUAGUAAGUUCCUGGUAAAAUCGGGUAGCUUAACUAUCUGCAUGCUAGGAAUACUGCUAUACUAGAGGGCGGGAGAGGUCUGAGGUACUACAGGGGUAGGGGUGAAAUCUUAUAAUCCUUGUAGGACCACCAGUGGCGAAGGCGUCAGACUGGAACGCGCCUGACGGUGAGGGACGAAAGCCAGGGGAGCGAACCGGAUUAGAUACCCGGGUAGUCCUGGCCGUAAACGAUGCAUACUAGGUGAUGGUACGGCCAUGAGCCGUAUCAGUGCCGUAGGGAAACCGUUAAGUGUGCCGCCUGGGAAGUACGGUCGCAAGGCUAAAACUUAAAGGAAUUGGCGGGGGAGCACCACAAAGGGUGAAGCCUGCGGGUUCAAUUGGAUUCAACGCCGGAAAUCACUAGUGCGGCC